ensembl:lncRNA
CCCCUCUACUUUCACACAGCUCAAGAGCUGUUCCUCCAAACCAGGUCUGCUGCAUGAAAGCAUCUCAUGGCUUCUGGUGAUGUGUUACUAUGGAACAUCGAUCUUUCUUGCUCACUUUCUGAACUGCCUCUGGAAGAAAUCAAGUGCAUCCCCACUCAGAGUACCAUCGAUGGCUGAGGGUGGCAAUAUCCCCACGUGCCACUAGGUGGGGACAACGAAGACACCACAGACGUGAACAAAAGGACGAGCUGCAAAGGACUGGAGCAGUGUUGGAGCUGUGUCCUUUCCUGAUGCCCUGCAGCAUUUUUCAGAGUAUU